ACUGCUUCAAUACCCAACGAGCAGCCUACUAGCAACUUGAACGGCGUGCACAACACACACUUCCUUUGUUAAGAGAUCAUUCCUCCACGCCGUAUCAUACAUUAUCUUGGUUUUCCAAAGGGCACCCAUUGAAACAUACGUUAGCGGUUAUGAAUAGCCUAGCAGUGGGAGUUCUGCUCGCAGCACUUAUCGCACUUGUCACAACACAGAUUCAAUGCCCCGUCAGAUACGGCGCGCGAGGUUGCACAAUUUACGGUAUUACGCUAGGGGCGGGCCAAAGUGCAAACCUUAGGAACCCAUGCGUACACGUUGAAUGCAGCGCCAAUAGACACAGAGUUACAAUCACCGGGUGUCAAGAUGGCGCCGGCCCAAAUCAACAUCCUCCAGGGGCGCCAGGUGGGCCAGUCGGGGAUUGGCCUCACUGUUGUGCCCGAUGUCCCCCAUUGUGGCGAGG
rnacentral:lncRNA from 1 species